rnacentral:rRNA from 1 species
CCUACGGGAGGCAGCAGUGAGGAAUAUUGGUCAAUGGCCGGAAGGCUGAACCAGCCAAGCCGCGUGAAGGAUGAAGGCGCAGAGCGUCGCAGACCUCUUUUGCCGGGGGACAAAAGGCCGGACUCGUCCGGUCCUGAGGGUACCCGGAGAAAAAGCAUCGGCCAACUCCGUGCCAGACGCCGCGGUAAUACGGAGGAUGCGAGGGUUAGCCGGUUUCAUUGGGUUUAAAGGGUUCGCAAGCGGGCCAUUAAGCCGGCGGUGAAAUCGCGGGGCUCAACCCCUACGAGCCGUCGAAACUGGGGGCCUUGAGUGCGGCGGAGGCAUGCGGAAUGCGCGGUGUAGCGGUGAAAUGCAUAGAUAUCGCGCAGAACCCCGAUUGCGAAGGCAGCGGGCCGGGCCGCCACUGACGCUGAGGCACGAAAGCGCGGGUAUCGAACAGGAUUAGAUACCCCGGUAGUC